UUCCAGACUCCUACGGGAGGCAGCAGUGAGGAAUAUUGGUCAAUGGACGGAAGUCUGAACCAGCCAUGCCGCGUGCAGGAAGACGGCUCUAUGAGUUGUAAACUGCUUUUGUACAAGGGUAAACCUGAAUACGUGUAUUCAGCUGAAAGUGCUGUACGAAUAAGGAUCGGCUAACUCCGUGCCAGCAGCCGCGGUAAUACGGAGGAUCCAAGCGUUAUCCGGAUUUAUUGGGUUUAAAGGGUGCGCAGGCGGCGUGUCAAGUCAGCGGUAAAAUGUCGGGGCUCAACCCCGGCCGGCCGUUGAAACUGGCGUGCUCGAGUUGGAGAGAAGUAUGCGGAAUUCGUGGUGUAGCGGUGAAAUGCAUAGAUAUCACGAAGAACCCCGAUUGCGAAGGCAGCAUACCGGCUCCACACUGACGCUGAGGCACGAAAGCGUGGGUAUCGAACAGGAUUAGAUACCCCUGUAU
rnacentral:rRNA from 1 species